rnacentral:rRNA from 1 species
CCUACGGGAGGCAGCAGUAGGGAAUAUUGCUCAAUGGGGGAAACCCUGAUGCAGCAACGCCGCGUGGGUGAUGAAGGUUUUCGGUUUGUAAACCCCUUUUGGUAGAGAAGAAAAUGACGGUAUCUAACGAAUAAGCACCGGCUAACUCCGUGCCAGCAGCCGCGGUAAUACGGAGGGUGCAAGCGUUACCCGGAUUCACUGGGUGUAAAGAGCGCGUAGGCGGGGUAGCAAGUCAGGUGUGAAAUCCCAUGGCUUAACCAUAGUACUGCAUUUGAAACUGUUAGUCUAGAGUAUGGGAGAGGUAGGUGGAAUUCCUGGUGUAGCGGUAAAAUCCGUAGAGAUCAGGAGGAACAC